rnacentral:rRNA from 1 species
GACGAACGCUGGCGGCAUGCCUAACACAUGCAAGUCGAACGGAGAACUCCUUCGGGGGUUCUUAGUGGCGAACGGGUGAGUAACGCGUAGGCAACCUGCCCUUUGGAUGGGGACAACAUUCCGAAAGGAGUGCUAAUACCGAAUGUGACGAUUUUACCGCAUGGUUUAAUCGUGAAAGAUGGCCUCUACAUGUAAGCUAUCGCCAAAGGAUGGGCCUGCGUCUGAUUAGCUAGUUGUGGGGUAACGGCUCACCAAGGCGACGAUCAGUAGCCGGACUGAGAGGUUUGAAACGGCCACAUUUGGAACCUGAGAUACGGUCCAGACUCCUACGGGAGGCAGCAGUUGGGGAAUAUUGGGCCAAUGGG